rnacentral:rRNA from 1 species
CCUACGGGAGGCAGCAGUGGGGGAAUCUUGCGCAAUGGGCGAAAGCCUGACGCAGCCAUGCCGCGUGAAUGAUGAAGGUCUUAGGAUUGUAAAAUUCUUUCACCGGGGACGAUAAUGACGGUACCCGGAGAAGAAGCCCCGGCUAACUUCGUGCCAGCAGCCGCGGUAAUACGAAGGGGGGCUAGCGUUGCUCGGAAUUACUGGGCGUAAAGGGGAGCGUAGGCGGAUAGUUUAGUCAGAGGUGAAAGCCCAGGGCUCAACCUUGGAAUUGCCUUUGAUACUGGCUAUCUUGAGUAUGGGAGAGGUUAGCGGAACUCCGAGUGUAGAGGUGAAAUUCGUAGAUAUUCGGAAGAACACCAGUGGCGAAGGCGGCUAACUGGCCCAUUACUGACGCUGAGGCUCGAAAGCGUGGGGAGCAAACAGGAUUAGAUACCCUGGUAGUCCACGCCGUAAACGAUGAGUGCUAGUUGUCGGCAUGCAUGCAUGUCGGU